rnacentral:rRNA from 1 species
GUCUACAGCCAUGCCACCCUGAACAAGCCCAGUCCCGUCUGAUCUCAGAAGCUAACCAGGGUCGGGCCUGGUUAGUAUUUGGAUGAGGGACCACCUAGGAAGACCAGGUGUUAUAGGCA